rnacentral:rRNA from 1 species
ACGGAAGGCAGCAGUGGGUAAUAUUGCACAAUGGGCGCAAGCCUGAUGUAGCGAUGCCGCGUGAGGGAAGAAGGUUUUCGGAUUGUAAACCUCUGUCAUCGGGGACGAUAAUGACUGUACCCGAGAAGGAAGCUCCGGCUAACUACGUGCCAGCAGCCGCGGUAAUACGUAGGGAGCGAGCGUUAUCCGGAAUUACUGGGUGUAAAGGGAGUGUAGGCGGUACUGUAAGUCAGAUGUGAAAUAUGCCGGCUCAACUGGCAGACUGCAUUUGAAACUGCGGUUCUUGAGUGAAGUAGAGGUAAGCGGAAUUCCUAGUGUAGCGGUGAAAUGCGUAGAUAUUAGGAGGAACAUCAGUGGCGAAGGCGGCUUACUGGGCUUUAACUGACGCUGAGGCUCGAAAGCGUGGGGAGCAAACAGGAUUAGAUACACUGGUA